rnacentral:rRNA from 1 species
GACAGAGGCCUCGAGCGUUAGGCGGAAUCACUGGGCUUAAAGCGUGUGUAGGCGGACCUCUAAGUACCUUGUGAAAUCCCACGGCUCACCCGUGGAACCGCUGGGUAUACUGGGGGUCUUGGGCCACUCAGGGGCGACUGGAACAAGCGGUGGAGCGGUGAAAUGCGUAGAUAUCGCUUGGAACGCCGAAGGUGAAAACAGGUCGCUGGGAGUGCGCCGACGCUGAGACACGAAAGCCAGGGGAGCAAACGGG